AUGCCUUUCAUCAUCGAGACCUUUAGAGUUGCAGAACCUCAGCUGAUCAUAGUUGCCAUGUCCUGCGUCCAAACAGAUGUGCCAUUGGCUGAUGUCCAGGCCACAUCCAAGUAUGAAUGGGUUUCUGAAAUAAAAUGUCAUGUGUCCCUUACUGAUAACCUUCUGUCUACUGCUUUGUCAGACUAUGCGUUCGUUCACAUGGACAAUGAGGAGGAUGGUAAAGCGGCCAUUGAACACCUUAAUGGGACGGAACUCUACGGGAGCAGCAUUACUGUACAACGCUCUGUGAAAGACCAUAAGCAUUAUGUAAACCGUGAGCAGCAUUCUGAACAGGAAACUCUAGAUGAAAGGGACACAUUUGCAGAUCCACAUUAUGAAGAACCACCUGUGUCGUAUGAUCAGGACUAUCGAUUCCAGUCUGGGCAGGCAGCAGCAUACCGAAAUGGGGAUGAGUUGGAAGACAACAGCUAUGCAGAGGCCUACUCUGCCCAGUCUCAUUCCUAUGGAAGCAAGUCCUAUGACAGCCACAAUGCUGAUUAUGAGAAUCGGGCUGCUUAUGAUGUGGGGGAUGACGCGACUGCUUCCUACUCUACACAGUACUCUGAUUCCCAAUCCACACAUGACAGAGCAUCAGUGGAUGUAGCAUACCAAUCCGUUUCUGAUCGGUUAGCAUUAGGUCACAGGAAAACCUCUUCCCGCCAUUCACUGUAUGAGCGCGUCCGUCUAUCCCCACCGAGUAGCAGCUAUGAGGACGAGCGUGCAGGCGGUAAAAGCUAUACGAGACAAGCGGAUGAUAGUUACUGCCCGCCGUACAAGUACGUUUGUCGCUCCCCACCACACAGCAGCCGCGACGAUUUCGACAGAAGGGGAAACAGAUCAAGUAGCAGGUAUACAGGAAGAUCAGAAAGUGCUUCUCGCUAUACAUCAAGAUCAGAAAGCGCUUCUCGCUAUAGAUCGGAAAGCUCGUCUCGCUAUAGAUCGGAAAGCUCUUCUCGAUAUAGAUCGGAAAGCUCUUCUCGCUAUACCGGAAAAUCGGAAAGCUCUUCUCGCUAUACAGGAAGAUCGGAAAGCUCUUCUCGCUAUACAGGAAGAUCAGAGAGUGCUUCUCGCCAUACAGGAAGAUCGGAAAGUUCUUCUCACCGUCGACCGUAUGAACGCAAUUAUCUUUCUCCGCCACAUAGGAGUCGUGAAAACCAUAGGAGCCACCGUUAA
rnacentral:lncRNA from 1 species